GUUUAGAGGGAAUAAUGUUCUGGGAGAUAAGAGGGAAUAAAGUGCUGGGAGAUAAGAGGGAAUAAAGUGCUGGGAGGUAAGAGGGAAUAAAGUGAUGGGAGUUUAGAGGGAAUAAAGUGAUGGGAGUUUAGAGGGAAUAAAGUGCCGGGAGAUAAGAGGGAAUAAAGUGCUGGGAGAUAAGAGGGAAUAAAGUGCUGGGAGGUAAGAGGGAAUAAAGUGCUGGGAGGUAAGAGGGAAUAAAGUGCUGGGAGAUAAGAGGGAAUAAAGUGCUGGGAGAUAAGAGGGAAUAAAGUGCUGGGAGAUAAGAGGGAAUAAAGUGCUGUUAUGUAAGAGGGAAUAAAGUGUUAGGAGUUUAGAGGGAAUAAAGUGCUGGGAGGUAAGAGGGAAUAAAGUGCUGGGAGGUAAGAGGGAAUAAAGUGAUGGGAGUUUAGAGGGAAUAAAGUGAUGGGAGGUAAGAGGGAAUAAAGUGCUGGGAGAUAAGAGGGAAUAAAGUGCUGGGAGAUAAGAGGGAAUAAAGUGCUGGGAGAUAAGAGGAAAUAAAGUGCUGGGAGGUAAGAGGGAAUAAAGUGCUGGGAGGUAAGAGGGAAUAAAGUGAUGGGAGAUAAGAGG
rnacentral:sRNA from 1 species